GGGGGAGUCAGUGAUCGGACCAGUGUAUCAGUCCCAUGUUAGCCCCGUGUCGCUCCUGUAAGGUGACCAAGGGAUUCAUUUAGGCCAGUACAGUAGGCCGAUGAACGAUGCUUCUGUUUGUUGGAAAUCGCGUGGCAGCAGCUCAGAUGUUUCUACAGUUCCUCCUCUCUGAGAAAGGGACAGCGGAUAUCCUUGGGUGUAACGGGAAGAGGAGCGCCUGAGCUCCGAUGACUCUGGAGCUGACGUGCACGCUGACUUGCGGUCACUCUGCAGGAUAAGAUCACGGCCAACGUCUUGAGUAACUUCAGGCCGCCGUUGCAACAGCAGGGAGUUAAAAUCAUCACAUGUGACCUACACUCCAUACUGAGGACGAUCCCCACCAGAGCCACUGGGGUUGAGGGUCUUACCCAGGAACCACAUGCUGACUGCAGUGGGGGAUUGAACCAGUGCUCCCCUGAUCCGUAGACUAGCGCAAUAUCCCACUGCGCCACACUAACUCUAGGAGCUGAGGGUGUGCAGAAGGCCUCGGUGCGAAGGUCAAAAUGAUCGACAGAGUUUACUGCUGCAGAGUCAACCAUUAACAGGCUGAUACAGAGCCAGAGGGGUCAGGGGUCAGCGUGUGAGAGCUGUGUGUGUUCAACUCAAACAGCGUGUGUGAGCUGUGUGUGUUCAACUCAAACAGCGUGUGUGAGCUGUGUGUGUUCAACUCAAACUGAGCAUUUUCUGUCAGAUUCUGUUUCUGCUUUUAAACUGCAGUCUGUGUUUCACUGUAUGUUUACACCAUACAGCUGUUGU